AUUGAACGCUGGCGGCAUGCUUUACACAUGCAAGUCGAACGGUAACAGGCCUUCGGGUGCUGACGAGUGGCGAACGGGUGAGUAAUGCAUCGGAACGUGCCCAGAGGUGGGGGAUAACGCAGCGAAAGCUGUGCUAAUACCGCAUGUGAUCUGAGGAUGAAAGCGGGGGACCAGGCAGCAAUGUUUGGCCUCGCGCCUUUGGAGCGGCCGAUGUCAGAUUAGGUAGUUGGUGGGGUAAAGGCCUACCAAGCCGACGAUCUGUAGCUGGUCUGAGAGGACGACCGGCGACACGGGGACUGAGCCACGGCCCAGACUCCUACGGGAGGCAGCAGUGGGGAAUUUUGGACAAUGGGCGCAAGCCUGAUCCAGCAAUGCCGCGUGCGGGAAGAAGGCCUUCGGGUUGUAAACCGCUUUUGUACGGAACGAAAAGGCUCUGGCUAAUACCUGGGGCUGAUGACGGUACCGUAAGAAUAAGCACCGGCUAACUACGUG
rnacentral:rRNA from 1 species